UCAACUGGUGACAUGUCCAGGGUCUAUCCUGCCUUCACCCAUAAGUAGCUGGGAUAAGCUCCUCCAACCCCCGUGACCCUAAUGAGGAUGUACAGUAAGUGGGUUCGGAUAAUGAAUGGAUGUAUUACAAUUUCACUGACCUUAAAUCACGUGGAGGUAAAAUCCAAUCACUUCAUUUCACUUUUUUUUUAUCCAAUUACACAUUUGUUUGUGAAUAUAACUAUGUACAAUGUGUGCAAAGUUGUUCACAAUAUAGGUCUGUCCUGAAAUGUACCAAUAAUUAAUCACUUUUAAUUGUUUAAGACUGAGAACUAUCUUUUUGUAUUUUUUUUAAUUUAUUUUGUAUUUCCCUCUGUUUAACUUAGUGAUUAUGUAGAUCUUCAAAAAAUUCAAAGGUUACUGUAUCAAAAACAGAGUAGAGUUAAGAAAUUGUGACUUGAAUUGUAAAAUAUAUCAUUAACUGAACAAAAAAACAAGUCUGGAACUGCUCCUAUUUGUCAAACGACAUGGGUUUUAUUGGUGAAUCAAUGUUGCAGAAGAUGAUGGCAUUUCUAUGUUCUCUACUGAGCGUCUGAAUGUCCAAAAAAGACACUCCUGACACCACUGAAAAGCUGAGAAACUGCAUUUUACCUGGAUUAUUUAAAUAUGUUGAUAGGAUUAGUGGUCUAAAAUGUUGAGGGGGAAGGAGAAAAGAAACAAACAAAAGGGGAAAAUAAAGUAAAGUUUAUGAAAUAUGAUUUUAUGAAUAUGAAAUAUGAGAGUAUUCUAAGAUUUUAUUUUAUUCUCUGCAUGAAAAAUGGGGUUUUCGUCAGUUAACGUCACUGUAAAUUGCUUUGGAACUUCAAAUUAACACCUAGUGGGAAUUUAAAGUCAGCACAGAAAAUUCUCUCCAAAUGCCUAAAAUUGCCGUGAAUUCCCAACCUCUGGUUAGAGAGCCUUGGCAAUAACCCCUCCCCCAGCCCCUUGGACUAUGUGAGGUUUUCGUAUGUAAAUAGUCCUGCUGUGAGGUAUACAAAUGUAAAUCGAGUCAUACACAACACAGUUUAAGCUUUACAGUGGAGGUGAGACAACAACUCAUUGACUUGAAUACCAGGCAGACACUGCUGGAUGACCGAUGAGACUGUGGCUGUGGAUAAGAACCAAAAAACAGCUUGUGCACAAUCCAAAAAUUGCAGUAAGUACAUAUUCAAUUAAUUAUUAGAUGUGUGCAAUUUGGGUUGGAAUUUUAUCUUUGUGUGACUUUCUUAGUUAAUUGCACAGUGUAUGAGUGUGGUUUUACUUGUAGAACCGAUUAAAGUCACAUUGAUCUGCUUGAACCUGGAGGUAUUUGUUCCCCCAAAAUGACUUAUUUUUUGUCUUGUAUUCUUUUAGGAAGCUGUGCGCUGUCUGCAUAACAGUGAAUGAAACAAUAGAUGGUAUGAACCAGAGUAUGGGUAAGAUUUUAAAGAGCCUGGAUCCAUUCUGCUCUAUAGAAUUAAAUGUAUGCCUUUACUGAACUAUUUCUAUUUUUUUUCCACAGACUGAGCUCACCCCAAAAUUAAGCAGUGACUUCUCAUUUAAUGGCAGCUCUAGCUGCAAGUCCAGCCUUGAAUGGAGUAGAAAGUGGAGUCCUGUUGAUUAACGGCCUGUAAGACAUACUGAAACAGUCCGAUGGAGCUACACAUACAGCCAACCAGAUCUUGCAGCCCUGGCAGAAGCCAUGAAAAAUUCAGCCUGUAGCAGAGAAUAAAAACACAGCUGGAGGCAGAGGAGGGGUGAACUGGCCAACAAGGGGGAGACUGAUUUUUGGCAGGGUGUCACAAUAGAUAUGAUGGUUUGAUGAAGAAAAUGGCACCUAAUGGGACAUCUGGGUUGAUUGUCUGGUAUCCUUCCAGAGUCUGGAGCUCUCUAACCUUUGUGCUGCACUCCAACAGACACUACAGCAGAACUCAACAUAUGUUCCUACCCACCACAGAAGACUCUGUAUUGGGCCACCCUCAGAGAAGCUUUAAUUUAAAUUUAGAUUAAAUAAAAGCGUUGUCACUUUUAUUUAAUCUAAAAGAUUGUUUUAAUUUGAAAGUGU